rnacentral:rRNA from 1 species
AUUGAACGCUGGCGGCAGGCCUAACACAUGCAAGUCGAACGAGUGGCGGACGGGUGAGUAAUGUCUGGGAAACUGCCUGAUGGAGGGGGAUAACUACUGGAACCGGUAGCUAAUACCGCAUACCAUCAGAUGUGCCCCGAUGGGAUUAGCUUGUUGGGGGGGUAACGGCGCACCAAGGCGACGAUCCCUAGCUGGUCUGAGAGGAUGACCAGCCACAUGGGAACUGAGACACGGUCCAGACUCCUACGGGAGGCAGCAGUGGGGAAGAUUGCACAAUGGGGGCAAGCCUGAGGCAGCGAUGCCGCGUGUAUGAAGAAGGCCUUCGGGUUGUAAAGUACGUUCAGCGGGGAGGCGGUACCCGCAGAAGAAGCACCGGCUAACUCCGUGCCAGCAGCCGCGGUAAUUC